UACAGAGGUCCCAAGCGUUGUUCGGAUUCACUGGGCGUAAAGGGUGCGUAGGCGGUCGGGUAAGUCUGAUGUGAAAUCUCAGAGCUCAACUCUGAAACUGCAUUGGAUACUAUUCGGCUUGAGGUCUGGAGGGGGGACUGGAAUUCUUGGUGUAGCAGUGAAAUGCGCAGAUAUCAGGAAGAACACCCGUGGCGAAGGCGGCUCUCUGGGACGUGACUGACGCUGAGACGCGAAAGCGUGGGGAGCAAACAGG
rnacentral:rRNA from 1 species